AUCAAGAAUGGUCCACCAUCCGAAAGGACAUCCCGCCAACUUGACACAACUGUGGGAGGUCUUGGAGUCAACAUGGGCCAGCAUCCCUGUGGAACGCUUUAGACACCUUGUAGAGUUAAUGCCCUGACGACGUGUACAUGGCCUCUCAAAGUCUCUUAAUCCUAGGAGUACGAGAGCCAGUCGAGCGCUGAUGCUAAACUUGUGAGAGUUUGACCUGCUAGAGAGGAUUCUGCCGGCCCAUGAGUACAAGAUGCUGGAGGAGAAACCAGGCAGGCUACAAUAAUUAUUUGAUUUCACACAAGAUUGUCCGGUUUAUGAAGAGUCUGAACGAAGAGAGCUGGCCACAUGGAAGCUGGAGGUGAUGGGUUGUCUAGAUCAGAGACCAAGAAACCAAGAACAGGCUCCUCCUUGUGACUUCAACAUUUUCACUGAAUGAUGCUACACUCAGCAUGUGUCCAUAAUGUUGUGGUAGCCACUGUUCCUCACAGGAAAAUGCAGGAUUUCUGGUUCGGGAGCUGUGGAAUAAUGAAGCAAAAGCUGGGCUAUCGUUGAAAACAAAACGUGCGCCCUGUUUUACUCCUACAGUGCUCAUUUUAUUCUACAUAGAAGUUGGGAAAGAUUGAGUCAUUUUUUUUAAAUGAACGUUUAUGAAUGUGCACAUUUCACCUGUAUGAUUCACGUGACUUGGGAAUGGGAAGCUGUUUGUCACGUUUAAAAAUGUGUUUGGGCUGUUUUAAUACAAUGUAUGUGUGCUUGAGUGUUUUAUUAGAGUAGUACCACAUCAUUUAACAUAUAUUAUAUAUUUCAAUGUAAUACCAUAUUUUAAGACACUGGACCUUUAGGUUGGUUUGCAAAAAAAUAUUUAAUAAUGAUACUGCAGUAAACACAGUAUAUUCACAGCAGUUUUUUCGGCAGUGUUUGAUGUGGAACUGUGUUAGAGCGGUCAAAUCCACAGGCGACUCCUGGCAUUAUACCUACAGCGGACAUGCAUGGC